GCGGGUGUGGUGAAAUAGGUAGACACGCAAGAUUUAGGUUCUUGUACCGAGAGGUAUGCAGGUUCAAUUCCUGUCACCCGUACCA
rnacentral:tRNA from 1 species